rnacentral:rRNA from 1 species
GACGAACGCUGGCGGCGUGCUUAACACAUGCAAGUCGAACGGAAAGGCCCUGCUUGCAGGGUGCUCGAGUGGCGAACGGGUGAGUAACACGUGGGUGAUCUGCCCCUUACUUUGGGAUAAGCCUGGGAAACUGGGUCUAAUACUGGAUAGGACCAUGCUGUAGGUGGUGUGGUGGAAAGAUUAGUUUCGGUAAGGGAUGAGCUCGCGGCCUAUCAGCUUGUUGGUGGGGUAAUGGCCUACCAAGGCGUCGACGGGUAGCCGGCCUGAGAGGGUGGACGGCCACAUUGGGACUGAGAUACGGCCCAGACUCCUACGGGAGGCAGCAGUGGGGCAUAUUGCACACUGGGCGCAAGCCUGAUGCAGCGACGCCGCGUGGGGGAUGACGGCCUUCGGGUUGUAAACUCCUUUCAGCCAUGACGAAGCCCUUGUGGUGACGGUAGUGGUAGAAGAAGCACCGGCUAACUACGUG